rnacentral:misc_RNA from 1 species
GCAAACUUGGUCAUUUAGAGGAAGUAAAAGUCGUAACAAGGUUUCCGUAGGUGAACCUGCGGAAGGAUCAUUACCGAGAGUGUCCCCUUCGGGGGGUGACCUUCAGCCCGAUGCUUUUGAUGAUUUCCUUGUUUCUUUGGCGGGUUCACGCCCGCCAGAGACCAUCUUUUAAACUCGUUUAUACAAACCUGUCUCUGAAAAUACAAACAAAAAAUGAAAUCAAAACUUUCAACAACGGAUCUCUUGGUUCUGGCAUCGAUGAAGAACGCAGC